GACGAACGCUGGCGGCGUGCUUAACACAUGCAAGUCGAACGGAAAGGCCGUGCUUUUGUGGGGUGCUCGAGUGGCGAACGGGUGAGUAACACGUGAGUAACCUGCCCUUGACUUUGGGAUAACUUCAGGAAACUGGGGCUAAUACCGGAUAGGAGCUCCUGCUGCAUGGUGGGGGUUGGAAAGUUUCGGCGGUUGGGGAUGGACUCGCGGCUUAUCAGCUUGUUGGUGGGGUAGUGGCUUACCAAGGCUUUGACGGGUAGCCGGCCUGAGAGGGUGACCGGCCACAUUAGGACUGAGAUACGGCCCAGACUCCUACGGGAGGCAGCAGUGGGGAGUAUUGCACAAUGGGCGGAAGCCUGAUGCAGCAACGCCGCGUGCGGGAUGACGGCCUUCGGGUUGUAAACCGCUUUCGCCUGUGACGAAGCGUGAGUGACGGUAAUGGGUAAAGAAGCACCGGCUAACUACGUG
rnacentral:rRNA from 1 species